UACAGAGGGGGCAAGCGUUAUUCGGAAUUAUUGGGCGUAAAGGGCGCGUAGGCGGCUUGGCAAGUGGAAGGUGAAAUCCCUCGGCUCAACCGAGGAACUGCCUUCUAAACUGCUUUGAUUGAGUCCGGGAGAGGUCAGUGGAAUUCCCAGUGUAGCGGUGAAAUGCGUAGAUAUCAAGUGGAACACCAGUGGCGAAGGCGAGUCUCUGGACAACUCCUGACACUGAGGCACGAAAGCUAGGGGAGCAAACAGG
rnacentral:rRNA from 1 species